UCCGUAGGUGAACCUGCGGAAGGAUCAUUACCGAGUGCGGGCUGCCUCCGGGCGCCCAACCUCCCACCCGUGACUACCUAACACUGUUGCUUCGGCGGGGAGCCCUCUCGGGGGCGAGCCACCGGGGACUACUGAACUUCAUGCCUGAGAGUGAUGCAGUCUGAGUCUGAAUAUAAAAUCAGUCAAAACUUUCAACAAUGGAUCUCUUGGUUCCGGCAUCGAUGAAGAACGCAGCGAACUGCGAUAAGUAAUGUGAAUUGCAGAAUUCAGUGAAUCAUCGAGUCUUUGAACGCACAUUGCGCCCCCUGGCAUUCCGGGGGGCAUGCCUGUCCGAGCGUCAUUGCUGCCCAUCAAGCCCGGCUUGUGUGUUGGGUCGUCGUCCCCCCCGGGGGACGGGCCCGAAAGGCAGCGGCGGCACCGUGUCCGGUCCUCGAGCGUAUGGGGCUUUGUCACCCGCUCGAUUAGGGCCGGCCGGGCGCCAGCCGACGUCUCCAACCAUUUUCUUCAGGUUGACCUCGGAUCAGGUAGGGAUACCCGCUGAACUUAAGCAUAUCAAUAAGCGGAGGA
rnacentral:rRNA from 1 species